rnacentral:rRNA from 1 species
AGCGAAACUGCGAAUGGCUCAUUAUAUAAGUUAUCGUUUAUUUGAUAGUACCUUACUACUUGGAUAACCGUGGUAAUUCUAGAGCUAAUACAUGCUAAAAAUCCCGACUUCGGAAGGGAUGUAUUUAUUAGAUUAAAAACCAAUGCCCUCUGGGCUCUCUGGUGAUUCAUGAUAACUUCUCGAAUCGCAUGGCCUUGCGCCGGCGAUGGUUCAUUCAAAUUUCUUCCCUAUCAACUUUCGAUGUUUGGGUAUUGGCCAAACAUGGUCGCAACGGGUAACGGAGGGUUAGGGCUCGACCCCGGAGAAGGAGCCUGAGAAACGGCUACUACAUCCAAGGAAGGCAGCAGGCGCGCAAAUUACCCAAUCCCGACACGGGGAGGUAGUGACAAUAAAUACUGAUACAGGGCUCUUUCGGGUCUUGUAAUUGGAAUGAGUACAAUUUAAAUCCCUUAACGAGGAACAAUUGGAGGGCAAGUCUGGUGCCAGCAGCCGCGGUAAUUCCAGCUCCAAUAGCGUAUAUUAAAGUUGUUGCGGUUAAAAAGCUCGUAGUUGAACCUUGGGCCUGGCUGGCCGGUCCGCCUCACCGCGUGUACUGGUCCGGCCGGGCCUUUCCCUCUGUGGAACCUCAUGCCCUUCACUGGGCGUGACGGGGAAACAGGACUUUUACUGUGAAAAAAUUAGAGUGCUCCAGGCAGGCCUAUGCUCGAAUACAUUAGCAUGGAAUAAUGAAAUAGGACGUGCGGUUCUAUUUUGUUGGUUUCUAGGACCGCCGUAAUGAUUAAUAGGGACAGUCGGGGGCAUCAGUAUUCAAUUGUCAGAGGUGAAAUUCUUGGAUUUAUUGAAGACUAACUACUGCGAAAGCAUUUGCCAAGGAUGUUUUCAUUAAUCAGGAACGAAAGUUAGGGGAUCGAAGACGAUCAGAUACCGUCGUAGUCUUAACCAUAAACUAUGCCGACUAGGGAUCGGACGAUGUAAAUAAUUGACUCGUUCGGCACCUUACGAGAAAUCAAAGU